GAUGAACGCUGGCGGCGUGCCUAAUACAUGCAAGUCGAGCGAACAGACGAGGAGCUUGCUCCUUUGACGUUAGCGGCGGACGGGUGAGUAACACGUGGGUAACCUACCUAUAAGACUGGGAUAACUUCGGGAAACCGGAGCUAAUACCGGAUAAUAUUUCGAACCGCAUGGUUCGAUAGUGAAAGAUGGCUUUGCUAUCACUUAUAGAUGGACCUGCGCCGUAUUAGCUAGUUGGUAAGGUAACGGCUUACCAAGGCAACGAUACGUAGCCGACCUGAGAGGCUGAUCGGCCACACUGGAACUGAGCCACGGUCCAGACGCCUACGGGAGGCAGCAGUAGGGAAUCUUCCGCAAUGGGCGAAAGCCUGACGGAGCAACGCCGCGUGAGUGAUGAAGGUCUUCGGAUCGUAAAACUCUGUUAUUAGGGAAGAAUAAACGUGUAAGUAACUGUGCACGUCUUGACGGUACCUAAUCAGAAAGCCACGGCUAACUACGUG
rnacentral:rRNA from 1 species